rnacentral:lncRNA from 1 species
UUUCUUGAUGAAAAAAACCAAAAUAGCCAGUGUGUUCACUCCAUUGGUCUUACUGAUAGAAUCCAUCCUCUUUUUUUUCUUCAUUUUUGCAAAUAUACUGGCAUUACCAAGAUAUUUAACGAAGCUGAUGUGGCCCAUUUUUGAUAUUCUCAAUGAUUUUUUUGCAUUUCUAUACCUUGCCUAUGCAGGCUUCUACUCAAUAAUUCACCCACCAGGCACUAUGGAUAAACUAUACUGGCAAGUAGCUGGACUCAUACUAUCUGUUGCCUUCUUGUCUCUACUAGAUAUUGUUGUACAAACCUUGCUGAUUAAGUACAGGACGAUGAAAGCUAUAUCUAGGACUGUCCCUCCAUCCAGACAGAAGACUUAACACACUUAAAAUCUCAUGGAAAGCAAAGCAUGUGUCAUGCUUCUCUUUUACUAAGAUGAUUUUCUUUUCCACUAAAAUUCCCAUCUUGACAAUGGCAAAGUGCUUUCCCA